rnacentral:lncRNA from 1 species
CCUCACUGUGUGACUGCUAUAGCACCAACACACCUUUGUUGAGUUUAUGUUUUGGGGAAGGUUGAUCUCAAGUGUAUUUGUUUAAAGACUCCACCCAACGUUCACUCUUGGUGGUGAAGGCAGGGGACACAACUCUCUGGAUGUUGGAUUUACAGCAUUAGUAAGUCUGUUCAAUAUAAUUUAAAGCCUGAUUAUAAAUGAUUUUAGGAUGUCUUAAUGUU